UAGACAGAAUGGAGAGAACAGCAGGAGGUAUUUGAAUGUUACCUAAAGGUUCAAGCUUUUCUGAGAUUACAACAUACCUCCUCCUACAAAAAAGUUCUCCUGGAGCUUCCAUGAAGAUACAGUCUGCACUGCCUGCAGACAUGGACACCAAGACUUUAAACAUGGGUGAUAUCCACAGAGGUCACUUGUGUCUUGCUGCUUUGCUGAUGGUUUGUGGGUCCCUGACCAUGUGCUGUCAGCAUCAGGGCAGAGUUGGAGAAACUGAUUUUUUUACCAAGGCUUUGACUGGAAGGGUAUGCUUCCCUUUAAGGAAUCAAGCUCAACUUGCAGAGCCAAUAAAAGCCUCUUGGGAAAACUGGCUUCAUACCUUGUCUACACAGUCCCCCUACAGUGCUUCUAAACUGUGGGACAUGGAUGAAUCUGGAGAACAUCAUUCUCAGCAAACUGACACAAGAACAGAAAAUGAAAUACCGCAUAUUCUCACUCAUAGGUGGGUGAUGAAAAAUGAGAACACAUGGACACAGGGAGGGGAGUACUAAACACUGGGGUCUAUUGGGGGGAAAAGGGGAGGGCCAGCGGGAGGGGGAGCUGGGAAGGGAUAGCCUGGGGAGAAAUGCCAAAUGUGGGUGAAGGGGAGAAAGGAAGCAAAACACACUGCCAUGUGUGUACCUAUGCAACUAUCUUGCAUGUUCUGCACAUGUACCCCAAAACCUAAAAUGCAAUAAAAAAUUAAAAAUAAUAAUUUACA
rnacentral:lncRNA from 13 species